rnacentral:lncRNA from 7 species
AAUCUCAGAUCUUCUCAUCCAAAGGGCUAACAGGCUGCCACAGUACAUACACCUUUGCUGUGGGGGGGUACUCUCCCUGCUGGGCUGUCAACCCAGCACUACUGCCUUCUGAUCCCUUCCUCAGGACACAAGGGACACAAGAGAAAUGCCCACAUGGUGUUGGCUAGAGCUGCUCUUGGUCUGCCAAUCUACACAUUUGCAUGCGUUAACACGACACUUUUCCAAAUUGCUUGGCCGUCAUAUUACUCUGAUAUUCACGGAACUAUCACUGUGGUAAGGAGAAAGAAAGCAUCUCUUUUCUUAUUGUAUAUAUGUUGCUUCAAGGCUGUUCUUAUCUACAUGUAGACACACAUCUACACACCCUUCAGAGUUGUACUGGAAGACACGCUCCUCUCUCCUUUAUCAGUGUACACCAACUCAUCAGCCAGAAUGCCUUUCUCUGGAACACAUUUUUUCAAUUUCUGAGCAAAAACUGCAGUAACCUCAGUUUCUCUUCAUCAGACAAAUUAAAGAUGCAUACCAAAUGAACUCUCUACAAAUACUUGUCUUGAUCAGAGUGGAAACAUUUCUGUUGUGGACAACGAUGUUAUAGCAGUGCUAUGUACGGGGUGUUCAAGAUCAGAUAAGGCUUUGAACUUCCAAGAUGGAAGUGGUUCCAAUAGAAGGAAUAUGAGUUAAUUGUGUCUUCUGGAAGUAUUCAGUGGUCAACGAUAUUGGUUUUCACUUAAAGAGUAUGACUGGAACCAAAAAGAAAUUGUUGCAAAACAAAGAUGCUGCUCAGAGUUACAGAUUUUCUCCUUUGUUUUGAUUAAGAUGAAUGGAUUACAUAGGCAGGACGCAGAGAGUUAGAACUGUGUUAAAUGUUUGAGUUGAAUCUUAAGUUCAUCUGAAUUGAAUAAGAUGCUGAUUUGAAUGUGCUUUAUAUAAUCCUGACUCAACAUUGUUUUGAGCAACAGUGAGGUAGACAGAUCCUUUCCAGAUGUCUUUGUCAGCCUUGUUCUUUCCUAUCCCAUCUGCCCUGAGGAAAGAAGGAUGAAACAGAAAUCCUCUGGGCUUCCUGGCAUCUUCCAGAGUGUGGAGAAAGCAUAAGGAAGUUUUACUUCAUGAUCCUCUGAAGGUUGGGAAGAAGAGCCAACUGAUGGUUCUGCAAGGCAUGGCACAGUACAUCACAUCACAGAAGAAACAAGAGCAGAAAGAACUAGAGCAACCCACUCACCUCCUGGAAAGGCCAGGGAGGAGAAUUUUUGUUUUGGAAAGAGAAACACUAAACUGAGGAAAGAUGAAAAGGUUUAUUUAUUGGCAGAACACAAAUGACACCUCUGAGUACAGUUCCAUCUGAAAUCAGACAUCUAUGUGUGGGUGAGCAGCAGGGAAUGAAUAGUCAUUGAGGUUGUGAGUCUUAUUGGGUAACUGGUGAAACAGUGAGCACCUUGUUUAUGGUAUGUAAAUAAAGGGGUAAAAAACUAUAAGCUGAACUCCAGAGUUGGCUUGUGAAUAUAACUGUGAUGGAAACCCUGUAGUAUUAAUAUCACUCCACUGGUAAUCUUGAACAUACUUGUUUUCAUCCCAAAGCUGAAAUCAAUUGGCCAGCCACUUUAGGUGGAGAGAGAUUGACCUUUUCUUUUUGCCAAAUGGACUACAUACUGCAAACUACAUUCAUACCCACAAUGUAACCUGUAGAGAGACAGACAAUUAAAUAUUGUGGCCUUAAGCAUAAAAGCAGUCUAAAUCAACAAAUAUCAUUUGAGUGAGAUUUUUUUUUAAGCCUUGUACUGCUCUUAUUCUCUGUAUGAAGAAGACUGGAAACAAAAAUUUACUGGAAACCAAAGCUUUUGAGAUCAGAAAUACUGUCUCUCAGUUCGUAUAAUGAAUAAAAUAAUCUGUAACAUUUUAUUUACUGACGUGCAUUAUUAUGCAUGGUAGGCACUCAGCUAGUGAGCUGAGGUUCUAAGUGACCAGAAAAUAAUGGUGUCAGUGGGAUGGAGAGCAGGACUGUCAAUUUAAAUGACAAACACUUUUUCAAUGCAAUAGAUUGUCAUUAACCCUUCCUGUGUUGCCCCAGUGGAUUGAUUACUAGCAAAGGUUUAUUUCUUGGACUGCUGUCUUUUGAAAUGGAUGUAUCAUGCUUCUAUUUGAGACAAC